rnacentral:rRNA from 1 species
AACGGACGCUGGCGGCAUGCCUAACACAUGCAAGUCGAACGAAGGCUUCGGCCUUAGUGGCGCACGGGUGCGUAACGCGUGGGAAUCUGCCCUUUGGUUCGGAAUAACAGCUGGAAACGGCUGCUAAUACCGGAUGAUGACGAAAGUCCAAAGAUUUAUCGCCAGAGGAUGAGCCCGCGUUGGAUUAGGUAGUUGGUGGGGUAAAGGCCUACCAAGCCGACGAUCCAUAGCUGGCCUGAGAGGAUGAUCAGCCACACUGGGACUGAGACACGGCCCAGACUCCUACGGGAGGCAGCAGUGGGGAAUAUUGGACAAUGGGCGCAAGCCUGAUCCAGCAAUGCCGCGUGAGUGAUGAAGGCCCUAGGGUUGUAAAGCUCUUUUACCCGGGAAGAUAAUGACUGUACCGGGAGAAUAAGCCCCGGCUAACUCCGUG